GCAGCUGCAGCCAAUCAUAAAAUGAAGCAUGUCACCAAAUUUUUGUAAUGAGAACUGCUAUGGGUUUAUAGGGAGCGAGGUGGACUGAAAACUAGCAAAUUUUGGCUAGCAAAGAUGAUUUAGGGGUGUUUUUUAAUCAGGUUGUAUUAUACUACAUUGUUCAGAUAUUUUGUAUUUUACUCCAUGAAACUGAUUUUAUUGUGUAUAUUGUUGCUGGAUGUGGCUCAUUGGCCUCUUGUUUUUGUAUAGUCCAAAGUAUAUUUCCAGAUUGAAGCCAGGUCAUGACUGUUACAACUUCAAUUGAGGCACUUUUUUUUUUUUUUUACAACUUCAUGAUUUGCAUUAAGAAUGCAAAAUAGAAUUAAAAUCAUGUUACAUCAUUUAGAACAGAUAGCUGUUUCCUGAAACAUUUUAUUUCCUCUUUGAUGCUAAGAGGCUAGGUGUUACAUUGGUUGUCUUUCAUCAUUUUCAUUCACUGGUGUGUCUUAAGUAAGAGAACACUAUUUUGAAAAUGCGAGAAAUUCAAAGCAACUGCAAUAAAAGGUCUUUCUUGAAUUCAUAAGAUCUUCAGAUUAAAAAGACCUCCUCAGUACACUCCGUUCCAACAAACCCUUGCCAGACUAGGCAACAAAAAUGUGGCUAUGAUUUCAUUGGUCGAAAGGAAUAGCUUGGACUCAAUAACAGGAGUCCAACAGACAUUGACAGUCACCUGAGUACCAUAGCCCUUAGAUGGAACUGUCUUAUGUUGGCAUUUUCAGCUUCAUUACGCUCCAGGUGUAAAAAAUUGUAAACUUGGGGUAAAAAGAGACCUGCUAGCCAUUACUGGUUAAUCUUUUAAACUAAUUGCCGUUUCACUGAUAAUGCACACAGCAUGCAUAUACAGUUGUUACUUCAACAUACAAUGCACAAGAUUUAAAAGUAAUAUUAGUUUCCUUAAAUGGAACAUAGAUUGCCUGAGGUGACCUGAGUGAUAGAUUAUGUUAUUUUGUUAUUAAGUUAUUUGAAUACUUAGAGUUGAUUUUUGUUUGUUAGAGCAACAUUAAAAUUGAUUUUACAGGAAAUUAAAAGCCAUUGGCAAGCUGUUUUGCGGGCAGAAAUCAAUAUCUUUUUCUGGGACUAACGUUUUCUGAAUAGGUUUGUAACCUCACAAAUACAAUACACAGUAUGUACAUGUAGCUUACAUGUCUUCAUACAUGCCAACUAUCCCGAUUUUAGCAGGAUUCUCCCGAUUUCAUUUCGUCAAAAAUACAAAUCCCGAUAUCCCGAUCGGGAUUGUCAAAAUACCCCGAAAUCCCGAUUUUCAAAAAAUCCAACCCGUUUUACGACAGAAAGUCCCGAUUUCCAUCUUAAAUUUCAAAUCCUGCGCUGCUUGUCUAUGCUAACCAAUCAAAAAGCGGGAUUAUGACCGCCAUUGCUGUUUACCUGUAUCGCGUGUGUGUAUAUCGGGAUGUGUGAAUUGGUGUAAUUACCUGUACGCUACCUGUGUCUGGGUGUUUGCAAACCUAAUGAGGAGUAUGUUUUGAUAGUAAUUAAUCGGGAUGGAUAGCAAAAUGCCACACUUUUUACACAAACUUCAACAAGAAUGGGGUUACACCACCAAAGAAAACGAAACUUUUAUCCCGAUAUCGGGAGGCAGAUUCCCAAUUUUCGGGAUGACUAUCGGGAUCGUAAUUGGAUGACAACCAUGUAUAUUGCCAUGCAAUAGGGUAAACCAUGGUGGAAUGAAUGAUGUUACAAAGAACACGAAAACAGCCAUCCAUCAAGGCACCUGCUGCUACCAACUUCUUUGUGAAAUCAAAAUUGGAGCAAGAUGAAGAUGUCACAAGAGUAGAGGUCCUGUUUGCCAACUGCAUUGCAGAACUUAGUGCUUUUUGAACUGCUAUACCGUACUAUUUAUUGUUUGUUGAGAGUUUAAAGAUUGAUUUAAUAAAGAUUGAUUUAAUAUAUGAAAAUAAAGUAUGUACUUUAUUUAUGAUUUCAUUUGAAAGAGGAGAUUGUUUGAUAAACACAUUAGAAUUAUGAUAAAUAGAUAA